rnacentral:rRNA from 1 species
CCUACGGGAGGCAGCAGUGGGGAAUAUUGCACAAUGGGGGAAACCCUGAUGCAGCGACGCCGCGUGAGCGAUGAAGUAUUUCGGGAGGUAAAGCUCUAUCAGCAGGGAAGAAAAUGACGGUACCUGACUAAGAAGCCACGGCAAACUACGUGCAAGCAGACGAGGUAAUACGUAGGGGGCAAGCGUUAUCCGGAUUGACUGGGUGUAAAGGGAGCGUAGACGGCGGUGCAAGCAAGAUGUGCAAGCCCGGGGCUCAACCCCGGGACUGCAUUUGGAACUGUGUGGCUGGAGUGUCGGAGAGGCAGGCGGAAUUCCUAGUGUAGCGGUGAAAUGCGUCGAUAUUAGGAGGAACACCAGUGGCGAAGGCGGCCUGCUGGACGAUGACUGACGUUGAGGCUCGAAAGCGUGGGGAGCAAACAGGAUUAGAUACCCUUGUAGUC